AAAUUGAAGAGUUUGAUCAUGGCUCAGAUUGAACGCUGGCGGCAGGCCUAACACAUGCAAGUCGAACGGUAACAGGAAGCAGCUUGCUGCUUYGCUGACGAGUGGCGGACGGGUGAGUAAUGUCUGGGAAACUGCCUGAUGGAGGGGGAUAACUACUGGAAACGGUGGCUAAUACCGCAUAACGUCGCAAGACCAAAGA
rnacentral:rRNA from 1 species